UACGGAGGGUGCAAGCGUUAUCCGGAUUCACUGGGUUUAAAGGGUGCGUAGGUGGAUUAGUAAGUCAGUGGUGAAAUCUCCGGGCUUAACCCGGAAACUGCCAUUGAUACUAUUAGUCUUGAAUACCGUGGAGGUCAGCGGAAUAUGUCAUGUAGCGGUGAAAUGCUUAGAAUAUGACAUAGAACACCAAUUGCGAAGGCAGCUGGCGUACACGAGCAUUGACACUCAGGCACGAAAGCGUGGGGAUCAAACAGG
rnacentral:rRNA from 1 species